AUAGCUGCAGUCGCUGCACAUUUGUCGUGCAACGUGUUGAGACAAUGAGAAUUUUGAGAUGUUAACUGAGAUUGAGCCAGCUACAGCUAAGAAUAUUGCAUGUGGUAAAUGGUUAUUACCCGUUGGCCAUCCACUGACCACUGGUGCUGCAUUGUACGAGACGUUAUUUACAUUUGUGGAGUAAACUAAGAAGCUGAAGGUCCCACAUUGGGAUUUCAGUUGUAAAAAUGCAAUGAAAGAAACAGCGCUACAGAAAUUAUUUGGUUGCUGUGGAUACUUCCCUCUAGCUGAUUCCCUUACACUGAUUGAUCUCAAAGUAGAAACAUCAUCCAAACCCAUGAAAUUUCAACUUGACAGCUUUUGAGUAAGUCAUCUCUAUUGAAAGUCAAAUCAAUUCUGUCAAGCUUCAAGUGCAGCUCGUGGGGUGAAUUGACUCAUGGACUAUGAGUAGCACAUUUAUUUAAACCCGUCAGCUACAAGUAUCUGUUGACUGACACAGGAAAGUGAAUUGGGCCUUGUUAUGCAGUUGUCCAUGCAGAUUGAUUGCAGCUUGGGGUCAUGUGGAUGUCUCAGUGUCAACCCUCACUGUGUGCUCCUUAAAACUUUGUGUUCUCGUGGUUUAAGGAACUUGGAAUUUUAACCAGAUGCCAUAACCAUUAUACCAUGGUUGGGUCGCACAUCCGGUUUGAAUAAUGUUCGGAAGGCAUAAUCGUACCCCAGUCUUCUUUCUCGUAAGAUUGUUACAGCUACGAGCACAAGCGACUAAACCACCACCAUUGAACUUGAAAGGACGAUGAGAGAUUCAUUAAAAGGGAGGGAAUUGAGCAAAAUUAUAGCAAGCAAAAAAGGGUAAAAUGGUUUUAAGUGUCAAGAUGACGUCACCCAAAACCCUUUGUGGAUGCAAGAAGUCUUGGAAGUGGUAGGAUAGUACGAGGAUUUCUUAAGCUGCUAAUGCUGCAAAAGAAGACCCGCAAAGGCAAUGAUAAUUGAAAACACGAACCACACCUAUUUGCCGAAGAAACUUGAAAGCUUCAAAGAUUUGGAAACCAUACUGUCCACCACGUCCACAAGCUGAGAAACAUUUCACAAGUAAUAUGUUCUUAAUGACACUUUUCAAAAUAUGGAACUUCCCUUCAGCCAUCAGUCUAGCACUUACGUCCAAUUUUGCAGGCCUUUGCUGUGAACAUCAAUAACAUUCACUAAUUGAAGGUUCAUGUUUCCAUUGUUGCUGCCCAAUGAUGCGUGUUGUCCCAGCCUAUGCCGGUGAAAGUUAUUUUUCUUCAAGUUAAACUUUGGCUGUUCUUUGGUGCUGGCGUCGUGUUACGGAAUUUGCAUCCUGUAUUUUGUUCAAUUUUAUUUGUGUCUAUAUCUUUUAUUUGUUGAGAAGGAAGAAAAACAGAAAUAUGGGGAGUUUUAACGUUAAACAAUAAAUAUUGGGAAAGCAACGAGGAAGAAGAUGGCGGGGGGUGGGGAGAUUUAAAGUAAUGUUAAUGAAUAGUGACGUGAAAAUUAAUGAUGAAACCUUUAUUAACCUAUAACCCAACAUAUUAACAUAAUAUCCUAAUACCCACACCUCUAAUACUCACACUUAUAUCCAUUCCACCCCUAUAAUUCUCACAUUCCAAAUACCCAAUCCUGUAUUACUCACACCCCCAAUACCCAUACCACUAAUAUAUAUAUCUAA